AACACGUUUAUUGAUGGAAGCAGUGGAGAAAGGACUAGAGGUUGGAAAGGAAAGACUCCAAAGUUGCCUGGAGAAAUUAUCCUGAGGAAAAACAAGAUCCAGACAUUUCCGAAAGGGAGGAGUCGGGGGAGGGCAAGGAGGGUUGAAGAUUAGGCAACACUGUGUCGGAAUCAUACAAAUUUGAAAACCGCAACCAAAAACCAGUGCUUUGUGGUGGGGUUUGUUUUUUCCAUUUUAAAUUGCAAGAUAAACAUGGAAGUUUCCGAGGUUCACAAUCUUAGAUUCUAAAGGAAGCAAUAAAAGAGAGAUGCCAGCAGUAAAAGGUCAUCAUACAAAAUUGAGCUGCAUUCACCCCUUCUUCAGUGCACCUUCCCUCCCACCAUUGGUUCUAGAUUCCCGGGCCCAGGAGUUGGAAGCCUUAAUGCUUUCAUUGUGGAAUUUGGGCCACUAGGGGCACACUGUGACCUCAUCAACACGGACAUGGUUCUGGAUUAUGCUACUAAGCCACCCUUGGAGCUGCUGCCGUAGAGAGAGAACUCUGGACUACAGAGACCAGGCAUCUGACCCCUGCGGUAUUUCCUAGACUUUAUGUGUAAUAAGGAAGGAAACGCCAAAUUCCCUGGGUCAGACUCAGAUUUCUUCCAUUUCUGAGUCCAUAACUGAAAACAGUUUCCCUGCAUCCUUCACUGCAUAAAGAAGAGUUUUUUAACAGGCCUGUUUCGCUUCCAAAAAUCCAUUCUGUGAUGGAAACCGUGGGGGCUCAGAAGAUCCAAUGCCAGGAGAAAGUCCAGGGGAAAUGCAAGGCUCGCUCUUGGAAAGCCACAGACAAUCACAGGGCCAUGAAGGACACUUGACACACUUGUCAGCUAUCUGACCCAGGAAGAUGAUUUUAUAUCCUUUUUCUCUGAAGGCAUACCGAGAAGGAUUUAUGUGAUGAUCCUUGGUCCUUCUGCCUCCAACUAGAAUGCAAGCUCAAGAGGAAGUGUGCCUUGCUCAUCAGUCUACCUUAAAACCUAGAAGGGUGCUUGCCACCUAAUAAGUGCUCAACAAGGGUUUGUAGAAUGAAUAAAUAACCACCUUCAGCCUAUCACUUUGGGCUUUGAUAAGGAUAACUGAUGCUUCUUAAUUUUAUGUAAAGCAUUAUGCAAAACAUGGUUUCAAAACAAUUAAAAAGACUCCCUCGCUCUCCAAUAUACCUUUCAAAUUGGAUUUGUGCCUGAAAAUCCUCUUACAGAGAAAUUUAGAGCCACCGUUGUUUAGGCCGUUUAUUCCAACCGAUCCAUGAAUCCCCUUUAUUGGCCAUCUUGCCAGUUAUCAUUCAGCUUUUGCUUGGAUACCUCUAGAAACAGAGAGCUCAUU